ensembl:lncRNA
GUAUGAAGAGGUGAAAUUUAUUUGCACUUCUGAAUACAGCUGAAAUAAGUUAUGUGCUCAUUUCUGUUUGUGUAAGAGUACCGUCCUAGUAAGAAGACAGACUUCUUGGUAUGGUACAGGUUAUCAGAAGAUGUGGUUAAAUCAGCUUGAUAAAAUACUAUUUUUGUGCUCAGCUGUUAGUCUGUCCACAGCAGUGCCUACUCACGUUUAAACAGAAAUGCACAUGUUUUGAAAUCCCAGGCUCAUUCCCUGUAUACCUAACAGGGCAGUUUGAAGUAGUAUGGUUUCUGGUAGUUCCAGUCCCUAGGGGGGGUAAGUUUUUUGUUUGCUCACAAGCACAAAAGGCUCGAGUUAAUCUUUUUGCUGGUUGCUGAUUGGAGUGCGUUCCUAUUUGUGAUCCAAACCAAAAUGAAGAGUAUAUUCUUGCUGCUUUUCCUCAAAGCCUGACCUCUGGCUUUUUCCACUUAGUCUUCUUUGUAUGCUGAAAUAUAUCAUGUACAUCCAUAGAAUGUCCUGGAAUUCCAGGAAGUAAUCAGCUGGAAAGUUUUGUGUCACUUAAGAUUUUUCUGAAGGCAACCAUUUUGUUCUCCAUCCAAGAUGAGAAUCAUUGUAUUCUGCACAAAUAUGGAGGUCGUGGAGAUAUUUGUGGGUCUUGGUUCUUGCAGGCUAAAAGCUGAAAAGCCAUAUGUCAGAACAGCACUGUUAAUAGAUCCAGCAAAAGGCCUGAAGUCUGCCUGUCCAGCGUAGCGCAAGGCACAUCAAACUCAGCUUUCUGCCAAAGGGGGCCCACUGUGACAAAGAAAAACGUCUACCCAUCUCCUGCAAGAAUGAGAAAACUGAGAAUUUACUUGGUGGAGUCGCUGUCUUACAUCUGCAGUGUGUGCACGCAGGCUGGAAGAGCAGUGCUGCCAGGUAGCCUGCUGGGUGUCCGCGCACUGCUGCAGCAGCUCACCACUCGGUUCUCAGCACACACGCACAUGAAAAACCAUUUUCUCCUUCAGUAUUUACAACCAACCACUCCGUUACCCACAUCCUGUUGACAGGAGAAACAAUGGAAGGCUCCUCAUAGCUUAUUACUCAUAAAACCUGACUCGUUCAGACAGAUCAUUUGCAGCUAGUGAACUCGAAGUGAUUACUUCUGACUGCAGUGUCCCUCAGAGCGUGAGGGCUGGGAGAGGUGGUGCUUUCAUUACUCCUCUUCAUUCACAUCUUUUUGGGCUUUAGUUCCCAGUUAGUUUCUUGGCUUUGAAUUUUUUGCUAUGUUUUUCUUUCAGAUUAUUCGACUCAUUCAGCUCCAAUAUUCUUUCGGCACAUGUAGAAAAAUUACUGUUAUCAAAAGCUGGUUCAGUUCAGCCAGUUCUCGUUCCAGAUGUUCAGAUGGUAAUUCCAUCACUUCAGAGAUUUUAUGUUCCCUUAAAACUUUAACAGCGAAUGCUUAUGGUUUUCACCUUAGAUGUUAUGAAACUCAUCUUUAAAAUUAUAUUGUUUCAAUAGCCCAUGGAAGAAUGUCACACUUGAUCUUAAAUAGGCUUAUCUCUAAGUAGGAUAUUGAUAUUACUAGUAAGUCCAGUUCAAGUGUUUGCAUAUGCAUACGUAAAAGCAUACGAAUAUACUUUAAAAGAAAACAAGAUUUUUCAAUGCCAUGUAGUCUGAAGUCCCGGCUUCCAGAGAUGAAGGGGAACAUUUAUGUUUGCAAAAUACCUGCCAAAAGAUAAUGGGUUCUCCUGGCUCGUGCUCUAUCUUAAUCGUGAAAGCACCGUUCCUCAGACGCCUAAGAUGGACUGAAGCUUCUUUUGAAUGUUCCUUGUAUUUGUUUUGUAUAUGAAUUAAAGACCUCAUAUCUGAAUGUAAUGACAUUUGGGGUUGAAUUUUAGGGUGGCUUAUGUAGGAAUAUAGCAGUGCUGUAUGCAGCUUUACAAGAAACCAUCUGAGGAGGGGGGAAUGGGAGGAUACGUUAUUUGGAAAUACUGAAAUGGUUCUUACUUGAACCCAGGAUUAGCAGAAAUGGGGCACAGAUGGUAAGAAGAAACAAGAAUAACUUUGAUCGUGUAAAUUUGAAACUUGCUGUGAGAACUAUUUCAAAAUAGUUAUUUUAGGAACCAAAGACAUUACUGUAGAAAAUGGAUGUAGGUGUUCUCACUGAAGCAGAUUUUCUGUGCUCGUUACCUGAAUGGAAGGGGAACUGUUUCUUUAAAGAUGUUAACAGAAGUUUUUGGCACAGAGACAAAAGCCCCACAGCAAGGCCACUGGUGCAGAAUCCCGGCCCUGCUGUCUGUGCAUUAGCAAAUUGUGCAUUAAUUAGCUGAUAGGGCUCACAAAACCGCUUUGUGGAACAGCGUUUAGCCAAUGAGGAGCAACAGCCACCUGUAUGUUCGUGAAGCCAAGCUGCCAGAGGAGGUGUGCCUCCCACCUUCAGCGAGAUUAGACUGAGAGUGUAAUUAAUCUUGUCUGAAAUGCACCUUGGCCAUUGGCUUCUCCAAACUUUGUUUUCUUGUAAUGUUUUCUUUGCCUUACUUUUUUCUUUUGCACAGGUUUAGCUUUUUAUCGUUCACCAGCCUGCUUGUUUCUGCAAGAUAAUUCCACCCCUGUAUUUGUCACAGUGAAGGAGCUGCAGCAGGAGAGCUGAGAGGCACAAAAAAGGCCCAGCUCAAUGAGAAGGAGUGCUCCUGUGGCCUGGCACAGCUUCUGUGCUGCUCUGCUUGCCCCUAUGCGUA